rfam:Salmo salar isolate Sally breed double haploid chromosome ssa07, whole genome shotgun sequence.
CUCCCUGUAGCUCAGUUGGUAGAGCAUGGUGUUUGCAACGCCAGGGUUGUGGGUUCAUUUCCCACGGGGGGC